rnacentral:rRNA from 1 species
GAUGAACGCUGGCGGCGUGCUUAACACAUGCAAGUCGAACGAGAAGUGGAGACGGAAACCUUCGGGCGGAAGACUUUAUUUCGAGUGGCGGACGGGUGAGUAACGCGUGGGUAACCUGCCUCAUACAGGGGGAUAACAGUUGGAAACGACUGUUAAUACCGCAUAAGACCACAGCACCGCAUGGUGCGGGGGUAAAAACUCCGGUGGUAUGAGAUGGACCCGCGUUCGAUUAGCCAGUUGGCGGGGUAACGGCCCACCAAAGCGACGAUCGAUAGCCGAUCUGAGAGGAUGACCGGCCACAUUGGGACUGAGACACGGCCCAAACUCCUACGGGAGGCAGCAGUGGGGAAUAUUGCACAAUGGGGGAAACCCUGAUGCAGCGACGCCGCGUGAGUGAAGAAGUAUUUCGGUAUGUAAAGCUCUAUCAGCAGGGAAGAAAAUGACGGUACCUGAGUAAGAAGCCCCGGCUAACCACGUG